GUACAUAGUUACAUAUUCUAGUUGUAAGUCCUUCUUUUUCUUCUAAGUGAGCUACUGCCACAGCAUGGUUCCUGACAGACAAGUGGUGUGGUUCCACAACCAGGAACCAACUCCCAGGCUGCCGAGGUGGAGUGCACUGAACUUUAACCACUAGGUCAUCAGGGCUGGUUCUCCAUUAUGAAAAGUCCAGGCCAGCUCCUGCCCAACCCAGUGGAAUGAAGCUGGCGGUUCCAGUCACCUUCCUAAAAGCCUGCCUAAGGCUGCUCCCCAGGAAGGUCCUUCCUUUAGAAUGACGUCUUACUUCUCUAAGCCCCAAACAGAUAAUGGGUGAAUGAGUUUCUUCACUCGCUUUCAUAAGAGGUAGUGUGGAUGAUAAUCAUUACAAAAACAAUAAUGAAUUUCUAGCCUGCUGUCUUCACUCUUCACCAGAUGAAAAAAACCAAGCAACUUCUCCUGGCAUUCUCUUCUAUCACCAGCCUUGAUGAGGAAGCAGCUCAGGUUGAGAGAAAUAAGGCCUUCGAGUGGGUGGAGUCACUCAACUGUUAGACAGAUAGCCCAGAGGCACCACAGCUCUUCCCCAGGAACACAUGUGAGUCAGACCCUAUCCCAAGCCACUUCCUCUUCCAAGCAUGGCG
rnacentral:lncRNA from 1 species